rnacentral:piRNA from 2 species
GUUUCUCUUCAGAUCGUAUAAAUCUUUCGC